ACGUAGGGUCCAAGCGUUAUCCGGAUUUACUGGGUGUAAAGGGCGAGUAGACGGCGCUGUAAGUCAGCUGUGAAAACUUAGGGCUCAACCUUAAGCCUGCAGCUGAAACUGUAGUGCUAGAGUGCAGGAGAGGUAAGCGGAAUUCCUAGUGUAGCGGUGAAAUGCGUAGAUAUUAGGAGGAACACCAGUGGCGAAGGCGGCUUACUGGACUGUAACUGACGUUGAGGCGCGAAAGUGUGGGGAGCAAACAG
rnacentral:rRNA from 1 species